GUUAAUAAGGAAUGAGGUCCAGGUCUUCAUUCUUAAUGAACUGGAUAUAAAGUGUGGACAGCUGUCUUGUAGUCACAGUUUUAAAACAUUUCAACUAGUGACGAUUAUAUCAUGGUUUUAAACAAUGUACAUUAUAGAAUGAUGGAUUUUGUACAUGGAGUACCUAUAUAACUUGGAAUAACACAUUGUGUAAUUUUUAUCCUGAGACCGAUGCGGAGUGCAGCCACAGGCCUGCAGAAAAGUUCAAGGGAUGCCUGCAC